ensembl:snoRNA small nucleolar RNA, C/D box 38A
CUUCUGGUGAUGAUAACUUUGUCCAGUUCUGCUACUGAAUGGAGUGCGAUGACAAACUUAUUUAUCUGAAGAAG